rnacentral:rRNA from 1 species
AUUGAACGCUGGCGGCAGGCCUAACACAUGCAAGUCGAACGGUAGCACAGAGAGCUUGCUCUCGGGUGACGAGUGGCGGACGGGUGAGGAAUGUCUGGGAAACUGCCUGAGGGAGGGGGUUAACUACUGGAAACGGUAGCUAAUAACGCAUAACGUCGCAAGACCAUAGAAGAGGACCUUCGGGCCUUUUGCCAUCAGAUGUGCCCAGAUGGGGUUAGCUAGUAGGUGGGGUAGCGGCUCACCUAGGCGACGAUCCCUAGCUGGGCUGAGAGGAUGACCAGCCAAAGUGGAACUGAGACACGGUCCAGACUCCUACGGGAGGCAGCAGUGGGGAAUAUUGCACAAUGGGCGCAAGCCUGAUGCAGCCAUGCCGCGUGUAUGAAGAAGGCCUUCGGGUUGUAAAGUACUUUCAGCGGGGAGGAAGGCGAUAAGGUUAAUAACCUUGUCGAUUGACGUUACCCGCAGAAGAAGCACCGGCUAACUCCGUGCCAGCCGCCGCGGUAAGAC